UACGUAGGCAGCGAGCGUUGUUCGGAGUUACUGGGCGUAAAGGGUGUGUAGGCGGUUGUUUAAGUUUGGUGUGAAAUCUCCCGGCUCAACUGGAGGGUGCGCCGAAUACUGAGCGACUAGAGUGCGGGAGAGGAAAGUGAAUUCCUGGUGUAGCGGUGAAAUGCGUAGAUAUCAGGAGGAACACCGGUGGUGUAGACGGCUUCUGACCGUAACUGACGCUGAGACACGAAAGCGUGGGUAGCAAACA
rnacentral:rRNA from 1 species